rnacentral:lncRNA from 10 species
GGAGAAUUUAACAAAGUGUCUUCAUUCAGUAGGGGGCCAAACUAAAUACUCGGUGCAGCAACCCUCGCCUGGGUCAGGUCAAUCGGCUGCCAGCCGGAUUGGCCGGCGUAUCAUUCCAGAAUGUACUGUUUGUUCUGUGGGGUUUAGGAGUUCUACAGUGGUUCUGCCCCAUCUUUCUAAAAAUACAAUACAGUGUUUCACUAUGUUACCCAGGCUGGUCUUGAACUCCUGGGCUCAAGUGAUCCUCCCACUUUGGCCUCUCAAAGCACUGGGAUUACAGGGUCUUACUCUGUCGCCCAGGCUGGAGUACAGUGGUGUGAUAUCGGCUCACUGCAACCUCUACCUACCUGGUUCAAGUGAUUCUCCUGCCUCAGCCUCCCGAGUAGCUGGGACUACGGGGUCACCAAGGAAGCCAGAGUGGAGGCUGCAGGGAAUAUGGAUUUAAAUGAAUUUUGGCUGUACCAUCAAGCAGUCUGAUCACUGAGGAAAUAUCAAAAGCUUCACCCGAGUGACUCAUCACCCAAAUUCAACAGAGAGUGAAGAGAAAUGUGCUUUCUGCUGAUAUUGUGCCCAAGGAGGAGUUGUAGACUUGCCAAAGAAGCUGCUUAUUUCACAGAAGGAUGGUGCUGGCUGAAAGAUACUUCCUUGAAACUGAGAGAUUGCUUCCUUAGACAGGUCUCCUUGAAGAGAAUCCCACUCUGUCAGCCCGGCUGGAGUGCAAUGGCGCAGUCUUGGCUCGCUGCAACAUCUACCUCCCAGGUUCAAGUGAUUCUCCUGCCUCAGCCUCCCAAGUAGCUAGGAUUACAGGCUUGCACCACCACACCUGGCUAACUUUUUGUGUUUUUAGUAGAGACGGGCUUUCCCUAUGUUGGCCAGACUGGUCUCAAACUACUGGCCUCAAGUGAUUUACCCACCUUGGCCUCCCAAAUUUCUGGGAUUACAGGCAUGAGCCACCGAGCGCAGUCCUGACUCUGCUCUUGGGAUACCUGAGAGUACUGUGUUAUAUGAAUAUCUGAUCUACCUAUGGAUUCAGCCGACCUAAAGUUGUUGAAUUCUUAAGCCACCACCCCCUUCUCACCAGCACAAGAUUUACUUUCAGAUCAUCAGUGCGUUAAUUGAACAAAUGGCAAAGAUCUUGCCAAAAUCUGAGAAGAUGUCCUCUGACGUUGCGCUUCUUGCCGCUGCCAUGAGAAGAAGGAUGUUUGCUUCCCCCUCUGCCAUGAUUGUUAAGUUUCCUGAGGCCUCCUGAGCCAUGCUGAACUGUGAGUCAAUUAAACCAUUUUCCUUUAUAAAUUACCCAGUCCUGGGUAUAUCUUUAUUAGCAGUGUGAGAAGGGACUAAUAAGGAACCUGCAGUGGAC